ACGAACGCUGGCGGCGUGCUUAACACAUGCAAGUCGAGCGGUAAGGCCCUUUCGGGGUGGCACGAGCGGCGAACGGGUGAGUAACACGUGGGUGACCUGCCUUUAGCUCUGGGAGUAAGCCUGGGAAACGUGGGUCUAAUACCGGGAUACGACUCCGCGGUGCAUGCUGUGGGGUGGGAAANCCUUGUGCGGCUGAGAUGGGCCCGCGCUAUCAGCUUGUUGGUGGGGUGAUGG
rnacentral:rRNA from 1 species